GGUCUCAGAGUGAUUUUGUUGUGCAUGACUUAACACUUAGUCUUGUGAUUUUUGAUCAGAAUUGUGAGAAAUACAAAAACAUGAUUUGUGGUGACGUGUGAUUUGUGGUGAUGUGUACUAUGUCUCAAAACGUGGCUUGGACUGCCUUUCAGCAUUAGGUCCUCUUUGGAUUUGAGCACUGUGCUUGGGUGGCGAUUGCCAAAAAGCACUGAAGAUUUGAGCACAGAUCACUGACCCCAGCAGGAGUCUUGCCAUUGACUCAAAUGGCUGAGACUUGGGCUGAGAUCAAGGACUUUUGGAUGUUGGAUUUGGCUUUAAUACAGUGUUUCAGACCUGGCCAUUCUAUUGUGACCCGCACAGACAUUGCUGAGACGAGCACAGGAGAAAAAAAGGCAUUAAUAUCUAUCUUUUCAAUCAAUGCAUAGAAUUCCUCAGAUCCAGCACCACAUCCUUUGGAGGUGGUCAAAUGUUUCAUUCAUGUUCAUUGUGAACAGCAACAAAAAAAGUAAUCUAGCUGAAAUGCAGAGGCCUGGCAGCUAUGUCUGGGUGCGUCUCAGACUAAUCCAUACCUUUCCUUUUUGUGCAUUAUUCUAACAGCAGGUGAUCUGAUGUGUUACCUGAAAAUGCACUUUGAAUUUACAAUUCCUGCUUCCUGGCCCCACUGGAGGUGAGGUAAUCCAUGAAGCCCCAGGAGCUGAAUGAGCAGUGGCUGCCUCUAGACCCGAGUACCAAAUUGUUGAACAGAUUUCUCCUUUGAAAAUGCCACUGUCACUUGAAAAUGCCAUGUGUACAAUGCAGCUGUCUGACUUCUCAGCAUUACAAAGAAACAAGGCCACGUGAAGCCUAUAAACAAGCUUGUCUUCAGUGCCAUUGCUGUAAGAAGGAAGUUUGCAAACUACAGUCUUCCUUGCUUUACUUCUUGAAUUUUCCAGUUGCUGCUGCUGACAAGACAGACUAGGGCCUGCUCUGACAUGACCAGUGCUAACUCCAGAAAGGGUCCUGGUCAAGAGUUGAAAGUAAGGAAAAGAGAGGAAGGAAACCACAAAGAAAGAAGCAUAUGAAAAGUAAAAAAAAAUACAGACCCGGAGGUAAACCUACACACUCAGAGGUAAUUUGCCUUGAGGAGCAAGAACCCUUGAGACCUAUGUGUAGACUGUGGAAAAAAGAAUCUGUGAACAAUAGUAAAGGCUAUGAACGUGCUAUCCUCUGACAGUGAACUUAGGUCAGUAAUCAUCAUUAAGCUUGUGGGAAAGAUUGGGGAAGUGGGAUAAUACCAAAAUUCAUUACUUGCAAAGCCGUGUAGAGAACAAGAGACUUAAAAGGAGACAACAGAUUUUUUUUGCAUGGAUGAAAUCAUGAGCUCCUCCCUGGGACUUUCCAUAACUCCUUUGAUCAAGCCUCUAAGACCUCUGCCAUGAAGUGUGGCUUCUGAGCUGUUCAAAGUUAGUGUGGGAAAGGAGUGAAGAGAAGUGUGGCCCUUAUAGUCACCUCCACAUCCAGCUUUCAUUAUAAGGCUGCAUUGGUCUGAGCACAAAGUUGUUCAGGGAAGUAAUAGUGUGGCUUACUUAGCAGCCAACUUUUGUUGGCUUUGGAGUCCUUGCUCUCAGGGUCAGUGUGGUUGCAUGGAUGUACAUAAUUUAUCUUUCCAUUGUAAUUUUUUGCCAUUUUAAAAGAGGGAGCAAUCCUUUUAUUUAAAUUCAGACAGAUCCAACAGUCUUGACCAAGAGAUAUUCCUGCCUUUUGCUUUCACCCUCGUUAAUGUGAGUGUACCUGUUCUCCUAUAAAAUAGAUAAGAUUUCAGCUGGGAAAUUCUCAUAAAAAUCUCAUCCUGUUAUGCUGCAUCUGUUAUCAUGGCAUCUCUGAGUAGCUUUGCCUGUUAGCCAGAGAUGUGUCACUGACAGCAAGGAACAAAAUGCAUCUUUGACUAGGGAAAUGUUACAAACUUGCUAGAUCAGAUCAGCAUCAGUGGUGAUUCAUCCUCCUCCUGUUAGACCCAGAGAGUAUGUAUGAACUAAACUUGCUGCUUUUGCUUGUAACUAUCCCUAGAAGGGAUUAAGUUUUUAAGAUCUGGCUACAUGUGUUUUGGAUAUUAAUAUGUGCUUUUGGUUCUGCGCCUGAAUAAGAUUUAGAGGAAUUUGAAGAGCAGCUGGACGCUAAAGCUUUAGGAGAUCGAGCGUCAAAGCCGGGCUCAUAGUAACCAACCUCCUGUCAGCAAAUCCAAAUGUUCUAUAUUUAACCUACUAUUAAAAUUAUGUUAUGUUA